CGUCAAAUCAUCAUGCCCCUUAUGUUCUGGGCUACACACGUACUACAAUGGCCGUUAACAACGGGCAGCGAAGCCGUGAGGCGGAGCGAAUCCUCAAAAACGGUCUCAGUUCGGAUUGCAGGCUGAAACUCGCCUGCAUGAAGUCGGAAUUGCUAGUAAUCGCGAAUCAGCAUGUCGCGGUGAAUACGUUCCCGGGCCUU
rnacentral:rRNA from 1 species